rnacentral:rRNA from 1 species
UGGGGAAUUUUGGACAAUGGGCGAAAGCCUGAUCCAGCAAUGCCGCGUGUGUGAAGAAGGCCUUCGGGUUGUAAAGCACUUUUGUCCGGAAAGAAAUCCUUGGCUCUAAUACAGUCGGGGGAUGACGGUACCGGAAGAAUAAGCACCGGCUAACUACGUGCCAGCAGCCGCGGUAAUACGUAGGGUGCAAGCGUUAAUCGGAAUUACUGGGCGUAAAGCGUGCGCAGGCGGUUUGCUAAGACCGAUGUGAAAUCCCCGGGCUCAACCUGGGAACUGCAUCGGUGACUGGCAGGCUAGAGUAUGGCAGAGGGGGGUAGAAUUCCACGUGUAGCAGUGAAAUGCGUAGAGAUGUGGAAGAAUACCGAUGGCGAAGGCAGCCCCCUGGGCCAAUACUGACGCUCAUGCACGAAAGCGUGGGGAGCAAACAGGAUUAGAUACCCUGGUAGUCCACGCCCUAAACGAUGUCAACUAGUUGUUGGGGAUUCAUUUCCUUAGUAACGUAGCUAACGCGUGAAGUUGACCGCCUGGGGAGUACGGUCGCAAGAUU